GCCUCGCGCGCCGGGGAUACUUGAGCGCCCUUCCCUGCGGGGACGGCGGAGGACGCAGACACAGGCGGUGGCUGGGAGAGCCGGCAGGCUGUGAGCUUCGUGAGAAGCAGUGUCGUGUGGGCACUAAGCACAGGCUCUGGAGCCCUGCCACCUGGACCAGGUCCAGCUCUGCCGCUUCUCAGCUGCUUGAGUAGGGAGCUACUUAAUCUCCAUGCUUCAGUUUCUUCAUCUGUAAAAUGGAGGUCCAACCCGACAAUGUCUCCAAACAGAGUGUCAGGGUUGAAGAUGGCCUGCAACACUGCCUGAUCAUUUGGAGUCCCCAUGGUGCUCAACUGCAAAAUCCAAACAGAUUGGGAGGAAUUCAUUAGAAGCCAACGCUUGACCACCCGUGGAUGAAGAAGGGGGAUAUGUACGAAAAGCUUGGAAGAACACAAGGAAAAAAAAACGAAAGAUCUGUUACACAUGAUAAAGUUGUCAAGAAAUGUCUUAUUUCUAGAAAAGAAGCUUGUCAUCUGUUGAGCUUUUGAAACAAUUAUUCAACUACCUGUAUUUACUAAAGAGACUGUUAAAAGUUCAAUAAAAGAAACACCACAAGUCUAUUUUCUUGGUUGAAAGACAGAACUAGAGUACCUCGGAACAAGAUACCAGGAAAGCACAGAACACAAUUUUCCCCUAAAUGCAGGUGGUAACCCCAACAUUCAUAACCAAAAAUAGAGAAACAAGGAGUACAGGUACUGACUGGCAACAUUCACAGGCAGAAAAAAUCCAGGUGACACCAUUUCUGCAUUUCUCUCUGAUCCCAGGAACGGACUGUUCUGCCAUCCCCUUACGAUGGGUUUCCCCCCGCAUUUGGGGGGAUCAGAGGAGCGCCAGACUGACAUUUUCCUGCCACUACUAGCAACUGUAACACAAUCCUUAUCUAUAGUGUUAAGAGAAUUAAAAGCCAUGGACUGAACUAGGCUUUGUUACAUGGUGCAUUACUAUAUUAGUUCCUAUAUAUAUCAUAUUUAUAUUUAUUUGAAAACCAAAACAAAAAAGUUGCAAGUUUUCAGAGUGUGAGACUUGACUGGUAUUCAUGAUUCGGCACAAAACCAUCUGCUAGAUAACCUUGUAUUGCUUUAAAAUGAAGGAAAUGAAACAUAAAAUUACACCCAGCCCUUUGCAAUGACCCGCUUUUCCUUUAAAAAAAAAAAAAACCCAAAAAAACCACAACUUGAUUUCUAUUUUAAAAAAUCCCAAAUCAAACUUAACAUCUGACAAGGUUUUGACCUUUAGUAUUUUCAGAUAUUUGAUUGAACGACAGUCCUUUAGAAAGAUACAUUCAUUAAAAGGUUUUUUUUUUUGUUUUUUUUUUUUGUUGUUGCUUUUUUUUUUGUUUUUUUUGUUUUUUUUUUUUUUUAAAUCAAGGGAGCUGCAUGGUGCUCACGGCAUUGGCCGGGGGUUUGACAGAGGCAAGCAGGGUGGUGGAGUGGAUCCCGGCAAAGGAGUCUGGUUGAAAACUUAUAUGUAGCUGCCAGGGCUUCCCCCUUGAUUCUUGUCAUUGGUCUAAAAACAGGAGGGGCCGGGCUGGAGGUGGCGGAUGGUAAUGGAGGGAGCCAAGGGACCAAGUUCCGGCCAAAGGGUCAGCGCCAUGCAGCUAUUCUGGUUACACAGUUGUCACUGGCCACCAGGAAAUGCAGCCACAACAGGUUCUAGCAGCAAAGCUGUGAGCUGGCUCUGUCACUGAGAACUGACCAGGUUUGCAGCUGUCACUCCUUAGGGAUUUGGGAUGCCCCUUAGGGGAUUCUUGGGAAUGACCCACCACAGUUCCUCAGUCUGCACUUUUGUGCGGAGAUUCCCUUGGUCACUUUCAAAACAAACUCGGAGGUGUUUUGGAGAUAGCUAUGCCAUUUUUUUU